rnacentral:lncRNA from 1 species
GAACUGUGGUAACCCCGCCCCUAGUGGCGGGCAUCACCACAACCCUACUCCAUCGCCUCCUUCAGGAGGCCAUGGAGGUGGUGGUUACUAUCCCUCCCCUCCAUCUCAUGGUGGAAGCCCUCCAAGUACUCCUAGUACCCCCAGUACACCAUCCACCCCCUCCACACCUACUAUUGUAACCCCACCUACACCUCCUACAAUAGACCCUGGCACUCCAAGUACUCCAGGGGGUGGUUACUAUGGUGGAAGUCCUCCAAGUAUUCCUACCCCUAGUAUUACACCCCCUACCCCUUCUACACCUAUCAUUGAAACACCACCAACUACUCCAGUCGUUGAAACACCACCAACUACUCCUACCAUUGAUCCAGGUACUCCAAGUGCUCCAGGGGUCUUUCCAAUUGACCCCAACUCACCACCUUUUACAUGCGAGUAAGUCAAAUGAAAAUUAUUCUUUGUUUCAUUUUAUAUGGCAGCAUUUGACUAGACAUACAAUUUAAGAAAGAGAAUUUUUUAACGUAUAUCUAAAGUACCUAAUGAGAACUUGUAAUCUUAAACAUAUCAUGACAUUUAUACAAUUAUACCAGCAUAUAUAUCAUUAACGGUGAAGGUGUGAUUCUGUUUAGAAAAGACUAGGAAAAGCGCAUCAUAUGAACGGAACAGAGGCAGUAUAAACUUUUGCACUUUUAACUACAAUAUGAGUGGCAUGUCCUAACAUGAAAUGUUAUGAACUGCA